AUGGAGAAUUGAUGAACGCUGUUCAUCAAUAUAAGUUUCCGUGUUUCGUUUUGUUCAGUUUUGAGAGAACUAUCUCUCAUAUAUAAAUGUAUGUUCUUUGAAAACUAGAUAACAGUGUAGCUCAUAUUUUUUAAUUUUUAGUUU
rnacentral:misc_RNA from 10 species